rnacentral:snRNA from 1 species
UUGCUCACUUUUGGUAGCACAUAUACUAAAAUUGGAACAAUACAGAGAAAAUUUCAUGGCCACUGUGCAAGGAUGACAUGCUAUUUCUUGGAGUGUUUCAUAUUUUA